GAUUUACCAGUCUUCAUUGAUUACAGAGGUGGUUUUAAGAUGUAAAGAAGUAAUGAGAUAAGGAGUCAAGAAAAUUCAAGAAAAUACUGAAACCGUCCCGCUGGCGUGCCCUUGGUCGUACCAGCAGCCCAUCCUUGGUUAGAGACGGCUAAAAACAAUCAGGUUAAAGGAUUUCUAACUUCUCUGAGAUUUGAACACUGAGGUCUUCUUGCAAUUAAUUUUUUUGGAUAAAGGAGCUAACUAU
rnacentral:lncRNA from 1 species